rnacentral:rRNA from 1 species
AGUCAACAUGCCCAGGGGACGUGGAUAACCUCGGGAAACUGAGGAUAAACCGCGAUAGGUCACUACUUCUGGAAUGGGUAAUGACCCAAACCUAUAUGGCCCCUGGAUUGGACUGCGGCCGAUCAGGCUGUUGGUGAGGUAAUGGCCCACCAAACCUGUAACCGGUACGGGCUCUGAGAGGAGGAGCCCGGAGAUGGGCACUGAGACAAGGGCCCAGGCCCUAUGGGGCGCAGCAGGCGCGAAACCUCUGCAAUAGGCGAAAGCUUGACAGGGUUACUCUGAGUGAUUUCCGUUAAGGAGAUCUUUUGGCACCUCUAAAAAUGGUGCAGAAUAAGGGGUGGGCAAGUCUGGUGUCAGCCGCCGCGGUAAUACCAGCACCCCGAGUGGUCGGGACGUUUAUUGGGCCUAAAGCAUCCGUAGCCGGUUCUACAAGUCUUCCGUUAAAUCCACCUGCUCAACAGAUGGGCUGCGGAAGAUACUAUGGAGCUAGGAGGCGGGAGAGGCAAGCGGUACUCGAUGGGUAGGGGUAAAAUCCGU